rfam:Enterococcus rotai strain LMG 26678 genome.
UGUAUACUAAUACAAGAAGCUUAUAUAUGGUCAUGAUAUGGAUGGCUGUCUCUACCCAACACCGUAAACGUUGGUCUAUAAGUGAAAAAGAGUCUCAG